GUCAGCAUAUAACUCUAGCCAUAUAAGGACAAAACCCCCGAAUCCACAUUCCAGAGCUCUCGGACAAAGAAAGCCUUGUGACUUAUUGAUACCAUCUGUUACUUAUGUCAAUCCACACAUCCAUAUAUAUAUAAUCAAUAGAAACAUAGAAUAUGCAAUAUUCUACAUUCCCUCUGUUUAUGGUUUGUUUUAAAACCAUAACACAAUGUCACUAACCUGUCCAUUCAUACAUCACUUGUAUCACAUUCAUUGAGCAUAGAACAAGAU